AAUGAACGUUGGCGGCAUGGAUUAGGCAUGCAAGUCGGGGGAAUCCCAGCAAUGGGGGAACCGGCGUAAGGGGCAGUAAGGCAUGGGUACCUACCUUGGGGUUCGGGAUAGCCAUCAGAGAUGGUGGGUAAUACCGGAUGACGUCGUGAGACCAAAGAUUUAUCGCCCUUAGAGGGGCCCAUGUGAUAUUAGCUAGUUGGUGGGGUAACGGCCCACAAAGGCGAAGAUGUCUAGGGGGUGUGAGAGCACGACCCGCGCCACUCGCACUGAGACACUGGCGAGACACCGACGGGUGGCUGCAGUCGAGGAUCUUCGGCAAUGAGCGCAAGCUUGACCGAGCGAUGCCGCGUGAGCGAUGAAGGCCUUCGGGUUGUAAAGCUCUUUAGUGGGGGAGAAAAGCCGCAAGGUGUGAUCUAUCCCAAAAAUAAGCACGGGCUAAGUUCGUGCCAGCAGCCGCAGUAA
rnacentral:rRNA from 1 species